GACGGAGGAUGCAAGCGUUAUCCGGAAUGAUUGGGCGUAAAGCGUCCGCAGGUGGCAGUUCAAGUCUGCUGUCAAAGACCGGGGCUUAACUUCGGAAAGGCAGUGGAAACUGAACAGCUAGAGUAUGGUAGGGGCAGAGGGAAUUCCUGGUGUAGCGGUGAAAUGCGUAGAGAUCAGGAAGAACAUCGGUGGCGAAGGCGCUCUGCUGGACCAUAACUGACACUCACAGGACGAAAGCUAGGGGAGCGAAUGGG
rnacentral:rRNA from 1 species